AACGUGGCUAGCUCUUACAAUGA
rnacentral:piRNA from 1 species